AAGUCGUAACAAGGUUUCCGUAGGUGAACCUGCGGAAGGAUCAUUAACACGUCUUGCACGUAUUAUUGCCCCACACCACAUUCUGUGAACCAAAAAAUUUUUUCACCCCUUUUAAACAAAUAAAGUCAUUCACGUUUCAUAGGAGUUACUCUGUAGCUUGUAUGGAAAAAGUGUAUGCAACCUUAUCUUGGAAACCACUGAAUGGAAGCUUCUAUGAUCGUAUGAUGAUGGGAGUGGAGAUUCAGGUUGAUUUUCCUUGUCAAUGAGUUAAUCACAACUCUUAGCAAUGGAUAUCUUGGUUCUC
rnacentral:misc_RNA from 1 species